AUGGAGCCGACCUUGAAAUACCACCCUUUAAUGUUUGAUGUUCUAACGUUGACCCGUAAUCCGGGUUGCGGACAGUGUCUGGUGGGUAGUUUGACUGGGGCGGUCUCCUCCUAAAGAGUAACGGAGGAGCACGAAGGUUGGCUAAUCCUGGUCGGACAUCAGGAGGUUAGUGCAAUGGCAUAAGCCAGCUUGACUGCGAGCGUGACGGCGCGAGCAGGUGCGAAAGCAGGUCAUAGUGAUCCGGUGGUUCUGAAUGGAAGGGCCAUCGCUCAACGGAUAAAAGGUACUCCGGGGAUAACAGGCUGAUACCGCCCAAGAGUUCAUAUCGACGGCGGUGUUUGGCACCUCGAUGUCGGCUCAUCACAUCCUGGGGCUGAAGUAGGUCCCAAGGGUAUGGCUGUUCGCCAUUUAAAGUGGUACGCGAGCUGGGUUUAGAACGUCGUGAGACAGUUCGGUCCCUAUCUGCCGUGGGCGCUGGAGAACUGAGGGGGGCUGCUCCUAGUACGAGAGGACCGGAGUGGACGCAUCACUGGUGUUCGGGUUGUCAUGCCAAUGGCACUGCCCGGUAGCUAAAUGCGGAAGAGAUAAGUGCUGAAAGCAUCUAAGCACGAAACUUGCCCCGAGAUGAGUUCUCCCUGACCCUUUAAGGGUCCUGAAGGAACGUUGAAGACGACGACGUUGAUAGGCCGGGUGUGUAAGCGCAGCGAUGCGUUGAGCUAACCGGUACUAAUGAACCGUGAGGCUUAACCUUACAACGCCGAAGGUGUUU
rnacentral:rRNA from 1 species